GAUGAACGCUAGCGGCAGGCUUAAUACAUGCAAGUCGAGGGGCAGCAGGACUGUAGCAAUACAGUUGCUGGCGACCGGCAAACGGGUGCGGAACACGUACGCAACCUACCCAAAACUGGGGGAUAGCCCGGGGAAACCCGGAUUAAUACCUCGUAACCUUUUUAAGUGGCAUCACUUGAUAAGUAUAGCUCCGGCGGUUUUGGAUGGGCGUGCGCCUGAUUAGGUAGUUGGUGCGGGUAACGGCCCACCAAGCCUGCGAUCAGUAACUGGUGUGAGAGCACGACCAGUCACACGGGCACUGAGACACGGGCCCGACUCCUACGGGAGGCAGCAGUAAGGAAUAUUGGUCAAUGGACGCAAGUCUGAACCAGCCAUGCCGCGUGAAGGAUGAAGGUCCUCUGGAUUGUAAACCUCUUUUAUGGGGGACGAAACCCGGAUAUUCUUAUCCGAUUGACGGUACCUCAGGAAUAAGCACCGGCUAACUCCGUG
rnacentral:rRNA from 1 species